rnacentral:rRNA from 1 species
GGCUCCUUGUGAUUUAUAAAUAAGGAGUCGGACCUGCCCAGUGAAUUUUUUAACGGCCGCGGUACUCUGACCGUGCAAAGGUAGCAUAAUCAUUUGCCUUAUAAUUGAAGGCUUGUAUGAAUGGUUUGACAAGAGGGUAGCUGUCUCUUUAUAAUUAGGUGGAAUUUUAUUUUCAGGUGAAGAAGCCUGAGUGAUAUUGAAAGACAAGAAGACCCUAUCGAGCUUUAAAAAAAUUAAUGAAUUUUAAAUAUCUUAAUAUUAUAUAAAAAAUCAUUUGUUAAAAAUUUUGGUUGGGGCGACUGGGGAACAAAUAAAGCUUCCUUUAACAAAAAAACAAUCAGGUAUUGAUCCAAAAAAUUUGAUUAAAGAAUUUAGUUACCGUAGGGAUAACAGCAUUAUCUUUUUUGAGAGUUCUAAUCGAAAAAAAGGUUUGUGACCUCGAUGUUGGACCAGAAUAUCCUGAAGAUGCAGCCGUCUUCAAGGGUUGGUCUGUUCGACCAUUAAAAUUCU